UAUUACAAGCUGCUUACUGUUUCCUUGACUUUCAUUCAGGUCACACGAAUUACAAUUAUAGUGAAACAAGGUUUUUAUGGGCGUCGACUAUUUAAAUUUGGCGCUUGCCUUUGGCAGUUGAGGACUCCAGUGUCAAUAAGGGUGGUUUUGCAAAAUCAGCCUCUAUGUCGCUUCUCUAUGUUCUCUGGUAGCGCUACAGUGGAACGUAUUGACCCUUUUCCUGUAAGCAAAGUGAGUAGACAUUAUAUAAAUUCCAAUGACACAGAGUGAGACAACAUCGCGCAGGCGAAGUCAGAUUUUUGGAGCGCCAAGUUUAAAUUAACCAAUGAGCGACAGAUUACGCAUGUGUAGCCGGUUGCAUUCUGUCAAAGCGGUUUUUUGUCACAGGCCUUUGCUCUGCUGCCGGAGUGCCGGAUACAAUUUCCAACGUGGUUUUGAAGAUGCGUGCGCACGAAAAGUCACUAUGGAAGUUUUACGAUCUUACAGGAAAAGGGUCAAUUACUAUGUUCUCUGGUAUUACCGCUACUGCUUACUAUGGGAAUCAAAUGCUUUAGGACAGAUAGUCUUGAGGCCGGCCGCAGCUCUUAUCUGAUUGGUUCUCCUACUCUUGCAUUUUGCAGUGUGGAUAAAUUUUAAAUUUCAGUCAUUGUCGUUAUAGAGUUCGGUACUUGGUUAACGGGUGGAUUGUGGAUACUCCGAUUAAUUUUAUUUGUACUUAAUUAAAUAAUAAUGAACAUGGAUGCAGGCCCAUCUGGUACUCAGGUAAUCUCCACAGUUCGAAAUACAAAUGACAUUGUUAACUUCCUCGUGAAUAAAUGUCCCUUCAAUAAGUUAACAUACGAAGAUAAAUUGUUUGUAAAGGAAAGCGAACGUCCAUGUCCAGAUCUAAGCUUAACAUUAAUUCAAAGAGAAAAACAAAAAACCAGGGCGUUCAGUCUCAAUUGGUACACAAAAUAUGAUUGGCUUGCUGGGAGUACAAUUGUCAAUAAACUUUUCUGUUGGCCAUGUAUUUUAUUCUCGAAUAGUGGAGAAUCGGUUUGGUGGAAAACUGGAUAUGCAGAUUUGAAAAAUUUGUCGCGUUCCUUGGAAAAACAUUCCAAAAGUAAAGAUCACAUAUCAUCUACUUGCAAGUUUGUUCUUCUCGGCCAACAGAAUAUUGCCAGUACUCUAGAUUCUGCUCGCAAAAUUGAAAAACAGUGAAACCUGUCUAUGCCGGACUCUGUAGAAGGCGGAAAACUGUUCAUCGCGGAAAUUUUCCGCAGUCCCGUUUUUCCAAAUACCUAAUUUAAUGUAUUUUGGUCCGUAUAAGCCGGAAACUGUGUAACGCGGAAACGGAAAAUAUUUGUAGGUCCCAACGUGUCAAAAUACAUGCACCCAACUCUGUGUAAAACGGAAGCGAGAACAAAGUUGAUGAUUUCUACGAAAAAUAUAUAAUUCUAUUCGUGGACCUGCAAGUGCAUUUUUUGUCAACAGAAAAUCACUGUUCUCAAUUCUCAUUUAAUUGGUAUCUCUCGUGGUUUUAUGUGUGUUCGCAAUAGCCCAUAAAACGACCAACAAUAACAACAAAAUGGAUUUAAUUAAUGUACACGAGCAGCACAAUUUGAGUGUUACAGAAAUUUGCAAAAGUUCGGUUGUAAAAAACCCAAAUGUAUCAAAUUAUAAGACAUAUCCUAAAAUUAAUUAGAGAGUAAUGGCAAAGCGGUGAGUGUGUCCAACCUUUUGCAGUUGAGAACACGCAUGGAAAAUAUAUCUAAAUGGCCGAAAAAGUAAAUAGCAAUAAACAACUAUUUCAAAUAAUUUUUUUAUAUGUACCUAUGUAUUCAAUUUAAUAAAAAUUGAUUUCUGUUUUAUAGAGGUGUACUUUCCGUUAUAGUCGGGUUUCCUGUAAAAGCCGGAACCCUGUUUAAGACGGAUAAAAAUUUUGGACCCGCGCGAUUCCGGCAUAGACAGGUUUUACUGUAGAAAAUUUUAAUGCCAAAGUUCGCGAAAAUAGAGAAAUUAUUAAAAGGUUAAUUGAUGUUGCUAUAUUUUUGUGCACACAAGAGCUUCCCUUUAGAGGACAUGACGAGUCAGAAACGUCUUUCAAUCGCGGAAAUUUUAAAGAAUUAAUUUCAUUGUUGAGUAGAUAUGACACUUGUUUGAGAAAUUUUUUGGAAAAAGAUUCUGACAAUAAAUCCGUGUUUUCUGGUACUUCAAAAACGAUUCAGAACGAGUUAGUUGAAUCAAUUUCUUUUGUUAUAAACAAGAACAUUAGCAAACAAAUUUUUGACGCUCCUUUUUUUUCCUGGCAGAUUGAUGAAACGACUGACAUAAGUUGUAAAUCGCAAUUAUCAGUUAUUUUUCGUUACGUUAUCUCCGGUAAAAUUGUCGAAAGAUUCAUGGGGUUUUUCGAUGUUAGUUCUGGACGAACUUCUGAAGAUUUAUUUCAAUUAUUGCUACAUAAUUUCAGUAAAUACAAUCUAAAAGAUAAAUUAAUAGCACAAACAUAUGAUGGUGCAGCGGUUAUGGCUGGGGAACUCAGUGGAUUACAAUUAAAAGUUAAAAGUGUGGCACCUCAAGCAACUUUUACACAUUGUUAUGUACAUCGUUUAAAUUUAGUAUUGGGCAAAGCUUGUAGCACCAUUCAACCAGCAGUGCGAAUUUUUUUUUCAACUUUGUCGGGAUUCUCUUCUUAUUUUUCAAAGUCAACCAAAAGGACUAGCGUUUUAGAUAAAAUUUGUGGAAGCCGUCUACCAACUAGCGCUCCAACUCGAUGGAAUUUUAGCUCUCGUGCAAUUUUUACAGUUUGUGCUUACAAAGAACAAUUAAUUGAAGUUUUUGACUUUAUAAUUAACAGCUCUGAAUUUGAUGCAGUUUCAAUUCGAGAAGCGGUAGGUUUAAAAAAUAGUUUACCAGAUCAUAAGUUCUUAUUUUUGCUAGAAACGUUUAAAUUUAUUUUUGAACAAACUGACGUCAUAUUUUCUGUUUUACAACAAAAGUUGACAGACAUCACUAAAGCGAGGAAUUAUUUACAGUCACUUUCAUCUAAAUUACGUGCUUUUAGGGGAUGUGAUGACUUUUUCAAUAACAUUUAUAAAAAACUUGAUAUAGAUGCCACUGAAGAAUCCACUCCAAAACGUCGCAGAACAGAUGAAUUACCCAAUAAAGAACAGCAACUUCGGCACAUUUUUUUUGAAAUUUUGGACACAAUAGUAAAUCAAAUAGAAAUUAGAUUUCUUGAUUUAGAAAAAUUGAUCUUUUUUGAUUUACUAAAUAAUGUUAAUUUUCCGUCUUAUGCCAAAAAUUUUCCCGACCGACUUUUAAAUGAUUUGAUUAAGCAGUAUCCCUUUUUUGAUAAUAUUCAAUUAAAAAAUGAAUUAAUUGUGGCUUAUAACGACAAAAUUUUAGAAACUUCUGGGACACCGGUUGAAAUGAUUAAAUUUAUAUACGACAAUAAUCUUCAAAGUUGCAUGCCAGAAUUGUAUAAACUGCUGUGUUUAGUAGUAACUUUACCCGUGACAUCAGUUUCUGUAGAGAGAAGUUUUUCUGCAUUAAAACGUAUUAAGAAUUACGCGCGAAAUACAACUGGCCAAGACAGAUUGAAUAAUAUGUGCCAGAUUUCAAUAGAAAAAGAACUUGUCAAAAACAAUAUGUCAGAGCAAUUUACCCAAGAAGUUAUAAAUCAUUUCGCACAACAAAAAAAAUUGGUCUGCAAGAUUUCAAAGCAUUCGGUUUUGUAGUUUCUGAUUAACUCAAUAAAAUAAAUUCACGCAUUCAUUACUUUUUUUGAGUCGCCCUGUAUAUGCAAAUCGAAAAAAUUUGAAUGGAAUGAUAAAUCACCAGAAGAGACUCACCAUAUUUUGUACAUUUUAGAUCGGAUUUAUUCAGCAAAAUUUUGUGGUGACGUCAUAAAGUUUUUAGGGAGGACGACCAAAUACAUUUUGAUAAGAAAUUUACAAUGCUUAUGAUAAUUUUAAAACAUCUUCAAGAUUUCAAAGCAUUCGGUUUUGUAGUUCCUGAGUAAAUCAUUAAAAUAAAUUUACUCAUUCUUUAUUUUUUUUUGCGUCACCCUGUAUAUGCAAAUCCAAAAAAUAUGAAGGGAGUGAUAUAUUACAAGUACAGACUUAUCAUAUUUUGUACAUUUUAGAUAGGAUUAAUUCGGCAAACUUUUGAGCUGACGUCAUCAAGUUUUUAGAGGGGAUAACCAAAUAUAUUUUGACUGAAGAUUUAUGAUUCUCUUUAUAGCCUUAAAACAUCUGCAACAUUUCAAAACAUUCGGGUUAGCAGAUUCAAAAUUAAAUUGCAAAAUGUUGUUUUAUAAUUUUGAUUUUUUUUCUAAAAAUCUGGACGUUUCGGGUGAAAGCUCAAUUCGCAAUCGUAAACUACAUGUGUAGGACUAUGUUAUUUUAUACAACUUAAAACCCAUUUACUAUAUACAAUUUUGAAGUGACGUCAUCGCAUUGGUUGUGGGGAUGAUUAGACAAAUUUUGGUUAGCGUUUUACGAUCUACAUGAUAUUCCUAAUAUAAGUGCAAAAUUUCACAACAAUCGGUCUAAUACUUUCGGAGAUUAUCUGUCUAAUAAAAAUCCGGGACGGCAGACAGACGGACAGACGGACAGACAGACGGAAAUGGGAGACCUAUUUCUUCGUCUUCUAGGGGUCAUGAAAGAUCGAGAAAACGUAAAAGUAGAGAGUCGGCCGACGGACUCGAUUACAAUACUUCCUUUGCUUACGCUCGGGAAGUAAAAAAAUUGUUACCAAUAGUGCUGGUAUUACAAGUAGUAAGAGUAUUGCGAUGCGUAUUUUGUCAAACAAAAUGCAAUAAGACAUUUCAGUAUUUCUGCGUUUCAUUGACCUUUCGUUCGUAUACCUAAAUUCUUGUUAUAUCAUUAAAAUCUAAAUUAAAAUAGUAUUAUAACCUGGAUGAUGUGAAUAAAAUUGGGAAAUAAUACUUUGUUUCGAUUCAAAAAUUGCCCUUUGUUUUACAUUUAUUCUAAAAAUUUGUUGUACAAGAAUUUAUUAUUCAUACCACCUCGUUUAAAGUUGGCGCGUGGUGUUGGAGUUAAAAUGGCGUAGGUUUGCGGAACUCUCUCUACAGGGACACUAGUCACAAUGUUGACACUACCCGAGUAUUUUAAGGUUACCAUGGCAACGGAAAUGCACGUGUCCGGGAAGUUCGAACUCCCGCUCCCUGGUGAAUGCACAAAAGCCAUCAAAAAAAGUCAUGAUUGCAAAAAAGGUCUUUACACUAGCUGGAAAACGCCCUUUUCUAAUGAGUACAACAUGCUAUAUUUUUGUAUCCCUGAUGGAAAGGCCUGAAUCGAAGAGUUUUUUAAAAAACUAUCAAGGUGUAAAACGUAGAUACCAUUGAAAUAAUUGCAGACCAUGGUGACGAGUCAAUAAGCAAAAAUUUCACGAAAACAUGAACGAUUGCGCGAGUUAUUCUCAAGAUUAUCAACCGGAAAUUCCGGCAUGAGAAGCAGUUAGAAAUUUGCUUCCUGAUAAAUCAAGAGAAAAAUAUUUAAAAACCUACGACCAAUUUAAUCAAUGGAGGCAAAGCAAAAAUGUGAAGGAAGUUAGCGAGAAUGUCUUGUUAGCGUUCUUUUGGAAAAGAGUAAGAGUCUAAAGGCAUCAACAAUCUAGUCCGCAUGCGUCGAACAUCGACUAGGCUGCUAAUUGACAAAGGUAGUAGUAUUUCGGAUUUAAAAAGACUUGGAAGGUGGUCUUCUACAAUUUCCGCCGAAAGAUACAUCGAAGACAGCAUUCAAAAUAAAAUUCAAACAUCAAAGAAAAUCUUCAGUGACCUGACUCAAAACGAAGUAAUCGUAGAUCAGCACACCUUUCAGGAUCCCCUUCAGUAUCCCAUUCAGAAUCCCCUUCAGCAUUUGCCAGUCUUCAUCAAGUUUAAGUUUCAACAUAUCUGACAACCAUCUGUUUACGACUGCUUCAAACGGAUUGACUUUUAAUAAUGUAACAUGUAACGAACUCUACAUUUCAUAUUUAUCAAAAUAAAUGCAUUGAAUAACUAUUAUAUUGGAUGUUUCUCUUCCGAGGAUCUUGUUGCGGACAAAUAAACGGUUGCUAAUGAGAGAAGAAUGGCCGCUAACGAGAAAAGUGUUGCUAACUAUAAAAGUGUUGCUAGCGAGAAAAAUGACACAUUUCUUUAUUAAUGUCACCAUAGUAAAGUUGAUGGUUUCCACGAAGGAUACAAAAAAAAAUCUUUGAAGUGUGCGUGCAAUCUAAUAAAAGAAAAACAUAAUAAAAAACCUUACAUCAAUGGGGUAAAUCACUCAGAUCCUAUCACUAUAGCUUAGGCUACUUACUGACCUACCCGCUAACUUGCUUAAUAAAUCAGUCCUUUAAACAGGAAUAUUCCCUGAAAGUCUAAAAACUGCAACAGUAAAACCCAUACACAAAAAAUCCCAUAGAGAGGAUAUAGGCUAAAAUCUUUGCAAAAUGCAUGUUAACGAAAUUAACUCUUUUGCUGAUAGAUAUCACCUAAUACCCACGGAAUAAAACGAUUUACGCUGCAAUAAAUCGAUUUCGAUGGCAACUAUCGAUUUAUAUAACACCUUACUUGAUCUUUACUUAAGCUGUGCUUUUGAUUGUGUACCCCAUGAUAGGCUGUUAAAUAAGCGAGAAAAGUUAGGAAUUAGAGGUAAUCUCUUGAAAUAUAUAGUUCAAAACAUUCUUGCUCGAUACACGAACACAAAGUGUUAAAAUAAACCAUACAGGAGACAAUGGAUCUAAGUCGAAUGUUACAUCUACAUUGCGUCCUGUAAAAUUCGGUGUUUCACAGAGAACAAUAUUAGCACCGACUUUAUUCUCAUUGUACAAAUCCGAUCUAGUAGCGAAUCAAAUCUGAUGAAAAUACAAAAACUAUAAACUUGGUCGAUAUUUGUAUAGAACCAUCAACAUCAAAAUCUUCUA